AUGGUGUGCUUGUCUGAUGGACAGGGCAGCUUAGGGGAAUAAGUCUCUGCAGCGUUGUAGUGAAGAGAGAAUACGGGACAACUGCAGGACCACAGCUCAGCCAAGAGCUCCCUUGCAGCUGAGUUGGCCAUAUGACUGACAGCAAGCCCUGGAAUGCAGCCAGAAGUGAUAGAAGCCUCUUUCACACCAUGCUCCUAAAAUAUUCCAAGAAAUUUUCCAAACCUACUCUUUUUAGUCUGUGCAUCUGGAAGUGAAAGUUUUAGAAAGGGUAAAGUCACUUAAUGGAAAGGGCCCAGAUCUAGCCCCUCGGAGCCAAGCUGUCCAACUAGAAAUUCUGCAUUAGUAUUUGCGAAUGUACCUUCCACGACCCAGGACUGUCUUUCUCAACAACUUGGAAGCCAUCCCUUUGUAAUGUAAUGAUCAAGAAAAAUAGGGCCCAUGCCUACCUGUCUCCAUGGGAAGCAGAUCUUUGGAGAGAAAAUGCCAAGAGUGGAUGGAGAGGCAAUGGUGAAGCUGAGGCUGAAGUCGGAGGAAGCUGUGAACCCUGCAUGGGGUACCUGAACACCAGGGCAAGUUUCUGGCCCAGAAUGGCUUCUGGGAAAGGGGAUAUGACAUCUUAGGAAGAAGGGACUGGGGGAAAGAAAGCACUUUCUGCUUCUGUGGAUAUAAACACACAGUGUUUUAUUCCCUAGUGCAACAAAACCUCAAGAUCAACAGACAAGAGCUGAAAACCCUUUCCCACCAGACACAGUGCCAUCUAAAUGUUCUCUCAAAAGAUAGCAUCUCAUAAACAAUUUCAACAAAAGGAUGUCAGCUUUUACUUUAUGUGCAUGCACAAAAUCACUUUUCAGGAAAAAAAAUGACCAUUACCGAAUCCAUCAUAAAAUUAAUUACAUUUAGUUGAUCACGUUGGCUGACUGGUUAUAACUCUUGCUGUAUUUUCCAGAAGUGUGUUUCAUUUUAUUUAUCAUUAAAGGAAAAAAUAUUGUAGUUUUCCAAUAUACUGUCUAUUGGUGGUUCUCAAACUCCAGUGUAUGCCACAAUUGCCAAAGAAAUUUAACUAAAUGCAGAUUCCUUGGCACUGUCCCUCAAAAUUCCUAUUUACUUUUUCUGGUAUAAGGUACAGAUAAUUCUGAUUUACUUAAGCUAUGGUUUUAGAAACACUACACUCUAAUUCUAAUUAUUCAUGUUAGUUCUCAUGAAAAUAUUCACAUUAAUUCUAAUGAAAUAUAAUGUGACAAUACUAUAUGUAAGAAUUUCCUCCCUGACUUCAUUUUGAUAUGAAUAGGAGGCAGGGAAAUACUGGGUAGAAGGGGGCAGUUCCCCAGCAAAGGCCCCACCUGAACCCUGGAAACCCAUGGCCCUAAAUGGGAACAGGCAUUUCUGUUUUUGCACCCAAAUGUUGCCUUUUCCAAGACCAUUCUGGCCUGCCAUGCCCCUAUCCUGUGUCCAUAUAAACUCCAAGCUCCAGUGGCAAAGUGGCAGAAUGGCAUGACAGAGAAGCAGAGAAUAGAAGGAGUGUCUGAACAUCAGGAAGAUUUUGGCUGGGGACGGUCGGAGAGAGAUCAGCUGCAGGAUGACUGAACUCCAGGGGAAGAUCAUCUUCCCACUCCAUCCCCUUUCCAGGUCCCCAUCCAUCCCACUGAGAGCCACCCCCAUCACUCAAUAAAAUCCCCACAUUCACCAUC
rnacentral:lncRNA from 1 species